rnacentral:rRNA from 1 species
UACAGAGGUCUCAAGCGUUGUUCGGAUUUAUUGGGCGUAAAGGGCGCGUAGGCGGCGGGGUAAGUCGGGUGUGAAAUCUCAGGGCUCAACCCUGAAACUGCACUUGAUACUGCUCUGCUUGAGGACUGGAGAGGAGACUGGAAUUCACGGUGUAGCAGUGAAAUGCGUAGAUAUCGUGAGGAAGACCAGUGGCGAAGGCGGGUCACUGGCCCGGUACUGACGCUGAGGUGCGAAAGCGUGGGGAGCAAACAGG